AACGAACGGCUGGCGGCAGGCCUAACACAUGCAAGUCGAGCGAGACCUUCGGGUCUAGCGGCGGACGGGUGAGUAACGCGUGGGAAUAUGCCCUUCGGUUCGGAAUAGCCCCGGGAAACUGGGAGUAAUACCGGAUACGGUCUACGGACGAAAGAUUUAUCGCCGAAGGAUUAGCCCGCGUUGGAUUAGGUAGUUGGUGGGGUAAUGGCCUACCAAGCCGACGAUCCAUAGCUGGUUUGAGAGGAUGAUCAGCCACACUGGGACUGAGACACGGCCCAGACUCCUACGGGAGGCAGCAGUGGGGAAUCUUAGACAAUGGGGGAAACCCUGAUCUAGCCAUGCCGCGUGAGCGAUGAAGGCCUUAGGGUUGUAAAGCUCUUUCAGUGGGGAAGAUAAUGACUGUACCCGCAGAAGAAGCCCCGGCUAACUCCGUG
rnacentral:rRNA from 1 species